rnacentral:rRNA from 1 species
UACGGGGGGAGCAAGCGUUGUUCGGAAUUACUGGGCGUAAAGGGCUCGUAGGCGGCCAGCUAAGUCAGACGUGAAAUCCCUCGGCUUAACCGGGGAACUGCGUCCGAUACUGGCAGGCUUGAAUCCGGGAGAGGGAUGCGGAAUUCCAGGUGUAGCGGUGAAAUGCGUAGAUAUCUGGAGGAACACCGGUGGCGAAGGCGGCAUCCUGGACCGGCAUUGACGCUGAGGCGCGAAAGCCAGGGGAGCAAACGGG